rnacentral:lncRNA from 1 species
CAUACGUUUAGGAGGAAGGCUGCUGGACAGAAGACUGUUAUUGUUUUCAGAUACGCUUUUAUCUCAAUAACGAGCUAUCAAUGUGCCCACUGAUGCCCAGAUAGACACCCGCUCUUUCCUGAGUGAGGAAAUGAUUGCUGAGUUCAAGGCUGCUUUCGACACUGAUGGUGGUGGUGAUAUCAGCACCAAGGAGUUAUGAGGAUGCUGGGUCAGAAUCCAACCAGAGAGGAGCUGGAUGCUAUCAUUGAAGUAGUAGAUGAAGAUGAGUUUCUUAAAAUGAUGGAGAACGUCCAGUAAGAAAAAAAUACAUUCCAUCUUCUGCAACCCAUAAUGACAGCAGCCAAGACUCUCAAAAACAACCCAUGCUGAGAGCUUUAAAAGAAAAGAGGAUCGAGGAAACACAACAUCAACAGGGUUCAAAUCGCUAACAAUAAAGAUGGUUGGAAUUCACUUUGAGGGACAGAGAAUAUUAUAGA